UACGUAGGGACCGAGCGUUGUCCGGAUUCACUGGGCGUAAAGCGCACGUAGGCGGCGCCGUAAGUCAGGGGUGAAAUCCCGGAGCUCAACUCCGGAACUGCCCUUGAAACUGCAGUGCUAGAAUCUUGGAGAGGCGAGUGGAAUUCCGAGUGUAGAGGUGAAAUUCGUAGAUAUUCGGAAGAACACCAGUGGCGAAGGCGACUCGCUGGACAAGUAUUGACGCUGAGGUGCGAAAGCGUGGGGAGCAAACAGG
rnacentral:rRNA from 1 species